AUACGGAGGGUGCAAGCGUUAAUCGGAAUUACUGGGCGUAAAGGGCGCGUAGGCGGUCUAUCAAGUCAGUUGUGAAAUCCCACGGCUCAACCGUGGAGGUGCAUCUGAAACUGAUAGACUUGAGUAUGGGAGAGGAAAGUGGAAUUCCCGGUGUAGAGGUGAAAUUCGUAGAUAUCGGGAGGAACACCAGUGGCGAAGGCGACUUUCUGGACCAAUACUGACGCUGAGGCGCGAAAGCGUGGGGAGCAAACAGGAUUAGAUACCCUAGUAGUCC
rnacentral:rRNA from 1 species